CAUGAGUUAUGUCAUGUUAUCGACAUGUGAAUUCAUAGCAUGUCAGAAGGCAGACCCGGAGAACUGAAACAUCUUAGUACCCGGAGGAAGAGAAAGAAAAAUCGAUUCCCUGAGUAGCGGCGAGCGAAACGGGAAUAGCCCAAACCAACAAGCUUGCUUGUUGGGGUUGUAGGACACUCUAUACGGAGUUACAAAAGAACAUGUUAGACGAAUCAUCUGGAAAGAUGAAUCAAAGAAGGUAAUAAUCCUGUAGUCGAAAACAUAUUCUCUCUUGAGUGGAUCCUGAGUACGACGGAGCACGUGAAAUUCCGUCGGAAUCUGGGAGGACCAUCUCCUAAGGCUAAAUACUCUCUAGUGACCGAUAGUGAACCAGUACCGUGAGGGAAAGGUGAAAAGUACCCCGGAAGGGGAGUGAAAGAGAACUUGAAACCGUGUGCUUACAAGUAGUCAGAGCCCGUUAAUGGGUGAUGGCGUGCCUUUUGUAGAAUGAACCGGCGAGUUACGAUCUGAUGCAAGGUUAAGCAGCAAAUGUGGAGCCGCAGCGAAAGCGAGUCUGAAUAGGGCGUUGAGUAUUUGGUCGUAGACCCGAAACCAGGUGAUCUACCCUUGGUCAGGUUGAAGUUCAGGUAACACUGAAUGGAGGACCGAACCGACUUACGUUGAAAAGUGAGCGGAUGAACUGAGGGUAGCGGAGAAAUUCCAAUCGAACUUGGAGAUAGCUGGUUCUCUCCGAAAUAGCUUUAGGGCUAGCCUCAAGUGAUGAUUAUUGGAGGUAGAGCACUGUUUGGACGAGGGGCCCCUCUCGGGUU
rnacentral:rRNA from 1 species